UUCAGUUCAGUUCAGUUCAGUUUAUUUUAUUUUUGCACGGCACCAACUUCAGCCAAGGGCUGUUCUUCUGUUGUGAUCCACAGUCCGGUGACAUAUCCACUCGACCACGAUACCUUUACAUAAAUCCAGGCUUUCAAGUAUCCAACUCAAGGGCAUUAUCUUAUUUUGAUCCCCAUAGAAAUCAUGUUUAUAUUACAUAAUAUGACAUUUUUAUAAAUUUU